rnacentral:rRNA from 1 species
GACGAACGCUGGCGGCGUGCUUAACACAUGCAAGUCGAACGAAGUGGCGAACGGGUGAGUAACGCGUAAUCAACCUGCCCUUCAGAGGGGGACACCAGUUGGAAACGACUGCUAAUACCGCAUACUGAAGGAGGGGAUUGCGUCUGAUUAGCUAGUUGGAGGGGUAACGGCCCACCAAGGCGAUGAUCAGUAGCGGGGCUGAGAGGGUGAACGGGCACAAUGGGACUGGGACACGGCCCAGGAUCCCACGGGAGGCAGCAAGGGGGAAUCUUCCGAAAUGGACGAAAGUCUGGAGGAGCAACGCCGCGUGAGGGGUGACGGCCUUCGGGUUGUGAAGCUCUGUUAAUCGGGACGCGGUACCGGAAUAGAAAGCCACGGCUAACUACGUGCCAGCAGCCGCGGUAAUUC